AAAAAAACCCAUAAGAGUCGUAUUUAAGCUGUAAAUUAACAGUGCUUGUGCAUGCAAUUUUAUUUUUCUUCACAGUUGCCAGAUGGUGUGGAGCAGAUGAUUCUUCACUAAAUAGGGGCUGAAUGUUGAACAGCUGAGGACAGAGGAGUGUAAAGAGCAUUCUUUACCACUGCUGCUCUUUUUAUCCUUGACUAAAAGCACCGGCUGCCCAUUUGAUCCCAGCAUUGAGCUACCAUAACCUGGAGACCAAUCCUUCCUUCCUUCUUUGACUCAUUGCCUAAGGCAGCUGCCAGCACUGUAUGCCCAGAUAGACGUUCUUCCCUUCAUAGAGAAGAAAAGCGACAGGCAUCACAUGUGUUUUGUCUUCCACAUCCAGCCUCCUGUGGGGCAAACACUGAACACACUAGGUGUGGCACAAUGAAUCGUGUUUAAAAGUCAGCGGUCAUCUGAACGACGGCCAAAGGAAUAGAUUCUUGGGGGAGGGGGAAGAGUUAGGUGGCAGUGUUGAUUUACAUCAGUCUUGAAUCACACACAAUUGGAACAAUUGCUAUAGCAUCGUACAGCAAGAAACUCUUCCAGUGCCCUUCAAUGUUUCUUGCUUAGCCAGCAGAUGUAAAGAGUAUAACAAUUCCACUGACAAACAGAUCCAACUGGAAGGCUCGAAUUACAUCCAGAAUGAAAGAAUCAGCUUUUGGUGAUUUAUUCCCAUCAGCAUUUAUAAAAAGGUCAAGGCUGAUCUGAAACCUGGGACAGUGGGGUCCCAUGCACAGCUUAUAGCAGAACUUGGAAACUUACUUUUCAAAGCUAGUUUGUUCCAGUUCUACAUUGUAGUGUUUAA
rnacentral:lncRNA from 1 species